UUCCUGGUGGUCCAGUGGCUAAGACUCUGCAUUCUCAAUGCAGGCGGCCCAGGUUCAAUCCCUGGUUAGGGAA
rnacentral:tRNA from 1 species